rnacentral:rRNA from 1 species
GGGGCUACAGAGAAAAGAUCAGCGCAGAACCUCCCGGGUCUAACAACAUGCGGCGGAAUGUUGCGUUAAGGGAGAGGUCGAUUUGAGACCCCACAGCCACGCGAUCGCUAAGUCCUGCCACGAGUGGCGUUCCCGACGAAAGGAGGGAUUGUGGCGCCAUGGAGGGUGACAGUCCCGUGUGGACGCGUGCGAUUGCUGUGCGAGGGUAAGGCCGUUUUCCCUGAGAGUCGCGUUGCUUGCACAUGCAGCGCUAAGCAGGUCGUAAACUCGAUCUAAGGCUAAAUACAUCCACAGAACCGAUAGUGAACAAGUACCGUAAGGGAAAGUUGAAAAGAACUCUGGAGAGAGAGUCAAAAGACCGUGAAACCACUCAGAGUAUAAGCCAAUGGCGCUAGAAGGCAACCGGUGGCACGACGGUUUAGGUUUCGGCCUGAAUCGUCCGAAAUGCCUGAGAAUUGUGUAGUUGGGAGAGUAGCGUAUAUGGAGCUGCUCUCCCGUCAGACGAGCCUGUUCAUGGACGUACACAAGUGGUGUCGUUCCUCUGUCAGGCUCGUUGCUGGACGACUCUUUCGAGGCAUCACACGGCUACUGCCCACCACAGCUCGUUGCUUGGUCACCCGCUGGGUCUGAGAAUGCAGAAGCUUCAUCCAGGGUCCGGGCUUGAAGGCGCUUGAAUGAACGAUGAUCACUCCCGCACGAUUGAAGAACGUGCGCGGACCCGUUCACGCCGUGCUCGCGCCAUCCUGGCUCUGACUGCAGACGUAGACGUGGUGUGAUCCAUACGGCGACGAAGCUGCAAUUGGCCAGACACACGAAGAACCCUCAGCUCCGUCGCCAUGUGCCGGUGUCGGUGUACCUGCGGGCAGGCUGCAUGCGUCGCAUGCGAAGUAAACGCUCAGCCUGAGGGUUUGUCUGACUGGUGAUGCUCUAGCGACCAUCGGUCACGUCUCGAAACACGGGCCAAGGAGUAUAGCAUGUGUGCGAGUCUGAGGGUAUCUCUAAACCCGAGGGCAAAGUGAAAGCAAAGGUGUGGCGGCGCUUGCGCCGUCAGCCGUGGAAUUAUGGCUGCGAGUACCGAGCUGAUCCUGCGCCCCAGGUUGGGGCCAGGCGCAAGCUCCGGGCUCACGUAUUCGUUCGGCACGCUUCCUCCUCGUGGGGUUGUGGGCUGGACGGUGAGCACCGCGGAGCAUGCAUGCUAUGACCCGAAAGAUAGUGAACUAUGCCUGGCGAGGGUGAAGCCCCAGGAAACUGGGGUGGAGGCCCGUAGCCGUUGUGACGUGCAAAUCCAUGGCGUCAGUUGGGCAUAGGGGCGAAAGACCAAUCGAACUAUCUAGUAGCUGGUUCCCUCCGAU